AUAAAGAAAAAAAAAGAAGAAGAAAAAACUCGGAAUUUUCAGAACCCCCUGUUUGAUUUGAUCCAUCCUCUCAAAAUUAAUUCUUCACAGUCACAAUCUCAAUACGUUGAUCACAAACUGAGUAAUUUUGGUUUCUAUUUUUAUUCUCCUUAGAUAAUAAAACAAAAAUAAUCACGAAAACAGGUUCGUUGGCUCUCCCAUCACCACAACCAUCUCUCACAGAUUUAGGUUACAUGAUUUUGGAAUCUGCAAAACUGAUAUCUUUUUUUCACAGCCACUAUUUAUGGGUUUAGGCUCAACAAAUUUGGAUUCUGCAUGUGUUGAUUAUGAAUUUUCUACACCGUUUUUUGAGUGAUAUAAUUAAGGAUGGUGAAAGGAAAAGAUCCACGUGAGAGUAGGGUCUAUGCAUUUGUAAGCCACUGAUAUGAAAGCCUUAAAGGAACUUGAUGAUUCAAAAUUGAAGUCACCCGUGUUGGAGACAUGUUGCAGUGAAUUUAUGUUGCACCCGUUAUCAUUUAUUUGCUUUUCUGUUUUAUGCCACCAAAAGGAGCAGGAUUUUGACAUUGUGCUUCAGGUACAUCAAAUUCACAAGCAUAUUUAAAGACUGAAUUAGUUUUCAACUACCAAAUCAGGUGUGCCCGAACUGACAGUGCAUAAGAAGAGUCGUAAAACAUCCACCAAAGUUGGAACGCACACAUUGGCACUGUCAUUGUGGAUAAUAUACAGAGGGGCUUUUACUCAAGUUGCAUGAGCUGUAAAUGCAGAUUAGAACGCAGGCCAGGUGUUUGAGCCCCAACAUUUUUCUAUGCUAGACUGACUACAGAAUAAGGCUCAUAAUGUCUGCAGAAUACCCGAACACUUUGGGUCAUAGACUCAUAGUGACUUUGAUGUAUUGAUAAGUCUAAAUUGGACUAAAAAUUAAAUAAGCUUUUUUACAACUACAAGGAAUUUCAGUGGGUUGGAAGGAGACUAAAAACUAAAUAAGCUUUGUUGCAACUACAAGGAACUUUAUUAGGUUGAAAGAGGACGGCGUACAGCUUGUACAUUGCCAAGAUCAGUCUGCCUUUAAUGACAUUCCAGUUUCAGCUUUGUAUUAAUCUUCUUUGCGGGGUCCUCUUUUGCCAUGGUUGGCAACAUAGACUUGGUGGCCACUAGCGGAU